AGUCGAACGGAAACGAUGGAAGCUUGCUUCCAGGCGUCGAGUGGCGGACGGGUGAGUAACGCGUAGGAAUCUGCCUGAUAGUGGGGGAUAGCCCGGAGAAAUCCGGAUUAAUACCGCAUAGUCUAUUCGUAGUAAAGGGGGCCUCUAUUUAUAAGCUCUCGCUAUCAGAUGAGCCUGCGUCAGAUUAGCUUGUUGGUGAGGUAAAAGCUCACCAAGGCAACGAUCUGUAGCUGGUCUGAGAGGAUGAUCAGCCACACUGGGACUGAGACACGGCCCAGGCUCCUACGGGAGGCAGCAGUGGGAAAUAUUGGACAAUGGGGGCAACCCUGAUCCAGCAAUGCCGCGUGUGUGAAGAAGGCCUGAGGGUUGUAAAGCACUUUCAAUUGUGAAGAAAGGUUAAUAGUUAAUACCUAUUGACUGUGACGUUAACUUUAGAAGAAGCACCGGCUAACUCCGUGCCAGCAGCCGCGGUAAUACGGAGGGUGCAAGCGUUAAUCGGAAUUACUGGGCGUAAAGCGUGCGUAGGUGGUUGUUUAAGUCAGAUGUGAAAGCCCCGGGCUUAACCUGGGAACUGCAUUUGAAACUGGAUAACUAGAGUAUAGUAGAGGAAAGUAGAAUUUCUGGUGUAGCGGUGAAAUGCGUAGAUAUCAGAAGGAAUACCGAUGGCGAAGGCAGCUUUCUGGACUAAUACUGACACUGAGGUACGAAAGCGUGGGUAGCAAACAGGAUUAGAUACCCUGGUAGAAGGGC
rnacentral:rRNA from 1 species